rnacentral:rRNA from 1 species
UACGUAGGCAGCGAGCGUUGUUCGGAGUUACUGGGCGUAAAGAGUGCGUAGGCGGUUUUCUAAGUUUGGUGUGAAAUCUCCCGGCUUAACUGGGAGGGUGCGCCGAAGACUGGAAGGCUUGGGUAUGGGAGAGGUAAGCGGAAUUCCUGGUGUAGCGGUGAAAUGCGUAGAUAUCAGGAGGAACACCUGCGGUGUAGACGGCUUACUGGACCAUAACUGACGCUGAGGCACGAAAGCGUGGGUAGCAAACAGG